UUGGCGAAGCCGCCGGUUGUUCCGGUGGUGACGGUAGGUGGGGAAGAAGCGCCGGCUAACUACGUGCCAGCAGCCGCGGUAAUACGUAGGGCGCAAGCGUUGUCCGGAUUUAUUGGGCGUAAAGAGCUCGUAGGUGGUUUGUCGCGUCUGUCGUGAAAGCCCAUGGCUUAACUGUGGGUUUGCGGUGGAUACGGGCAGACUAGAGGCAGGUAGGGGAGAGUGGAAUUCCCGGUGUAGCGGUGAAAUGCGCAGAUAUCGGGAGGAACACCGGUGGCGAAGGCGGCUCUCUGGGCCUGUCCUGACGCUGAGGAGCGAAAGCGUGGGUAGCGAACAGGAUUAGAUACCCUGGUAGUCCACGCCGUAAACGUUGGGCGCUAGGUGUAGGGGCUUUCCAAGGUUUCCGUGCCGCAGCUAACGCAUUAAGCGCCCCGCCUGGGGAGUACGGCCGCAAGGCUAAAACUCAAAGGAAUUGACGGGGGCCCGCACAAGCGGCGGAGCAUGUUGCUUAAUUCGACGCAACGCGAAGAACCUUACCAGGGUUUGACAUGCACGAUUUACCCGUGGAGACACGGGGUCCUUUUGGGGUCGUGUGCAGGUGGUGCAUGGCUGUCGUCAGCUCG
rnacentral:rRNA from 1 species